rnacentral:rRNA from 1 species
GAUGAACGCUGGCGGCGUGCCUAAUACAUGCAAGUCGAGCGAACAGACGAGGAGCUUGCUCCUCUGACGUUAGCGGCGGACGGGUGAGUAACACGUGGAUAACCUACCUAUAAGACUGGGAUAACUUCGGGAAACCGGAGCUAAUACCGGAUAAUAUAUUGAACCGCAUGGUUCAAUAGUGAAAGACGGUUUUGCUGUCACUUAUAGAUGGAUCCGCGCCGCAUUAGCUAGUUGGUAAGGUAACGGCUUACCAAGGCAACGAUGCGUAGCCGACCUGAGAGAGUGAUCGGCCACACGGGAACUGAGACACGGUCCAGAGUCCUACGGGAGGCAGCAGUAGGGAAUCUUCCGCAAUGGGCGAAAGCCUGACGGAGCAACGCCGCGUGAGUGAUGAAGGUCUUCGGAUCGUAAAACUCUGUUAUUAGGGAAGAACAAAUGUGUAAGUAACUAUGCACGUCUUGACGGUACCUAAUCAGAAAGCCACGGCUAACUACGUG